UGUCAUUAAACAGUGGAGAGGGGAAGGGUCAAAUAGUAUCUAGGACUCUUUAGGCAGAGACAUACCUAUGACCACCCUCUCUCAUCUCCACAGGCUUUGGCAUCCCUAGCCCCUGCUUAGUGAGCGCAGUUCAGCUGAGGGUGACCACCCACAAUCAUGGCAUGCCAAACACAGUUCUGCGGGCCUCUACUCACGCAGCAAAGUGUUUAGCCAUGAAGUUGUGGAGAACCCCUUGACAAUGUGAACCCUAAAGGCUCAAAAAUGAGAAAGGAAAAAAACCUCUUGGUUUUUAGAUCAAUCUAAUGGAUUUUCCGGAUCUGACUCAUGAUUUUCCAAUGGCUGGGCCUGGCCAUAGUGAAACUGAUCACCUGCAAAGAGACCAGGUUUUUGAAACAAUCACAUCCCUCCUAACUGUCCU